UGUUUCGGCUAGGGGGUCAUCCCGACUUACCAACCCGAUGCAAACUACGAAUACCGAAGAAUGUUAUCACGGGAGACACACGGCGGGUGCUAACGUCCGUCGUGAAGAGGGAAACAACCCAGACCGCCAGCUAAGGUCCCAAAGUCAUGGUUAAGUGGGAAACGAUGUGGGAAGGCACAGACAGCCAGGAUGUUGGCUUAGAAGCAGCCAUCAUUUAAAGAAAGCGUAAUAGCUCACUGGUCGAGUCGGCCUGCGCGGAAGAUGUAACGGGGCUAAACCAUGCACCGAAGCUGCGGCAGCGACACUAUGUGUUGUUGGGUAGGGGAGCGUUCUGUAAGCCUGCGAAGGUG
rnacentral:rRNA from 1 species